rnacentral:rRNA from 1 species
GUCGAACGGGGUGCCUUUGACAGAGGAUUCGUCCAAUGGAUAAGGUUACCUAGUGGCGGACGGGUGAGUAACGCGUGAGUAACCUGCCCUGGAGUGGGGAAUAACAGCUGGAAACAGCUGCUAAUACCGCAUAAUGCAGUUGGGUCGCAUGGCUCUGACUGCCAAAGAUUUAUCGCUCUGGGAUGGACUCGCGUCUGAUUAGCUAGUUGGUGGGGCAACGGCCCACCAAGGCAACGAUCAGUAGCCGGACUGAGAGGUUGGCCGGCCACAUUGGGACUGAGACACGGCCCAGACUCCUACGGGAGGCAGCAGUGGGGAAUAUUGGGCAAUGGGCGCAAGCCUGACCCAGCAACGCCGCGUGAAGGAAGAAGGCUUUCGGGUUGUAAACUUCUUUUGUCAGGGACGAAGCAAGUGACGGUACCUGACGAAUAAGCCACGGCUAACUACGUGCCAGCAGCCGCGGUAAUACGUAGGUGGCAAGCGUUAUCCGGAUUUACUGGGUGUAAAGGGCGUGUAGGCGGGGAAGCAAGUCAGAUGUGAAAACCACGGGCUCAACCUGUGGCCUGCAUUUGAAACUGUUUUUCUUGAGUGCUGGAGAGGCAAUCGGAAUUCCGUGUGUAGCGGUGAA